rnacentral:lncRNA from 1 species
GUUUAUUUUGUGGAGUGCUACGGAAACGACCUUAUUCUUAAAACCUCUUCCAAACAGCAGGUGGCGGUACGGAGCUGCAGGCGAGUCUGUUCCUCGGUCUGUCUACAGAGGAAGAAAUAGACAAUCAGCUGUUCAAACCUGGUGGUUCAAACAGAGAGCGGAGCUAUGAACGAACAGAAAUGGAUUCAGGCAAUAACUCGGUUGCAGGCUCAGUGUCGUGGUUAUGUGAUGUGGAAAGGACUGAGUUUGGUUCGGACUCAGUUUGAAGAGACAGUGCGAGAGAUUGAUGGAGGAUUGGAUCACCUGCAGUGGAGAGGAAACAUAAUUCCCAAACCUCACUUCACUGACACUGAAAGCCUAUUGCUGCAGUAUGAACGCUCCAGGUUUCAGUCCCAUGACCAUCUGGAGAAUCAGGGCAGUGAGAAAUCUCUCCCACCGCCUGAAUCCAGGUACCAGAGAGAGACGAAGCUGCUGAAACAGCCAGCAGAGAUACUUCCACACCCUGUGGAUGGUAUUGUGGACAAGAGAGGAGAGAAUGUGGUCAUACAAAACCUGAUGGAUGAUUCGACUACACUCUGCAGUACCGUGAAUUCAGAUGUCAGCCACAGCAGCUUAUUUCAGACAGGUACUUUGAGAAAAGGUUUUGACCCCCAAAAAAGGAUACAGAGAUUUAAAAAAAAAAAACAGACAGGACUUAUUUGAGACACUUAUGUGUUUGUGUUUUGUUUUGGCAGGACCAAAUUUGCAUUCAGUUUUUAAAGACACAGAACACACUCUUGACUCUCUGAAGCAGCAGCAGAGCACUUUAGCUAUGGAGCUGCUGUGGAUCCAGCAAGCCAUCAGUAGCAGAAAGAAAGUGAGAAAAGUUUGGAAUUUUUAACAUUAAUGUUUAUUUGUGUGUGUGUGUGUGUGUGUGUGUGUUAGUCUAUAAAAUGAUUCUGCUCUGCUUCUUUUGUAGUAUUUUAACCUCAAACAGAGAAUGGAUGUGCCACACUGAUACUGGACCAGUUCUGAAGUGGGCCAACAUUUUAAGAGAUGUUUUCUCAUUAUUUCUGUAUUAUUGUAUAAUUUACAGCACAGAAUGUUUGAGAAUUGUCAUAAAUUAUAUUUAUUUAUGAGCUUCUUUUGUCUAUAAACGGGUUUGUGUUAAAGAAGAUUUUUAUUUUUGUAAAAAUGGCAUUUCAGAAAUAAAUAUAAUAUGCAAGUGAUGGAGAUGGAAGAGAGACUAAUUUUUCUGUAUAACACAAAGCCAGUACAGUUCAAUCCUAGAUGGACGUCAAAGGCUCCCACAUCCUUAUCUUACAGUUCGGUCAAUGUAGUGAAAUAGCUAUUUAAUUACUGACUUGUAUUUAGACUGUGUAACCACAUGAGAACUCAUAUAUCACUCGAUAUGAUGUUGCCUGCCCUGG